UGGGACACUACUGUACCUACC
rnacentral:piRNA from 1 species